rnacentral:ncRNA from 1 species
AUUAAAAGUUUUAUUCUGGCUUUAUUGUUAAGUGUGCUUAUUUAAUUAUAUGAAAAUUUUUGUUGGGAUUAUUUAUUUUUUAGAUAAAAAUAGGUUAAAGAUUUAUUCUCAGUAGUUAAUUUUAAAUAUUAAAGAAAUUUAGAUUUAGAAAUAAGUUUUAAUAUUGACUAAGUUUGUGCCAGCAGUUGCGGUUAUACAAACAAUAUAAUUUAACAAUCACAGUUAUAGUUAAUAUAAAUAUAAAAUAAAAUGAUUUUUAAAUUGAAUUUAUUAGGUGAAAUUUUAAAUUUAAAUAUAAAUUAUUUAUAGUUUAUGAAGCUAAGAAAUUUAAUUAAUAGACUAGGAUUAGAUACCCUAUUAUUUUAAAUGUGAAUUUUAUAUACUGAAUUAUUAAAAGUUAUGUCCUUGAAAGUUAAAGAAUUUGGCGGUAUUUUAGUCUAUUCAGAGGAACCUGUCCUGUAAUUGAUGAUCCACGAUUAAUUAUACCAUUGUUUUAAAUUUAUAUAUCGUCGUAGUUAAAUAUUUUAGGAGAAAAGUAAUAUUUAUGAUUUUUUAAUAAAAAAUUAAUCAGAUCAAGAUGUAGUUUAUAUAAUGGAAGAGGUGGGUUACAAUAAAGAUAUUUAUGGAUAAAUAGUUGAAAACUAUAUUUGAAAAUGGAUUUGAAAGUAAUUAUAUAUAUAUAUUUAUAAUGAUUUUAGCUCUAAAAUAUGUACAUAUCGCCCGUCGCUUUCAUCCUAAAGUGAAAUAAGUCGUAACAAAGUAGUCUUACUGGAAAGUGAGGCUAGAGGGGC